CACGUAGGGCGCAAGCGUUGUCCGGAAUUAUUGGGCGUAAAGAGCUCGUAGGCGGCUUCGUAAGUCGGGUGUGAAAACCCCAGGCUCAACCUGGGGACGCCACUCGAUACUGCGAUAGCUAGAGUCUGGUAGGGGAUCACGGAAUUCCUGGUGUAGCGGUGAAAUGCGCAGAUAUCAGGAGGAACACCGGUGGCGAAGGCGGUGAUCUGGGCCAGUACUGACGCUGAGGAGCGAAAGCGUGGGGAGCAAACAGG
rnacentral:rRNA from 1 species